AGCGCAAGUUAUGCGGAUGAGAUACGGAGCACUGGAAAUGGAAUGGAGGUACAUGAUUCAUUACGCGGCCGUUGACAUCAGAUUGCGGAAUGGGCAGAUUAUCGGACUCUUCUGAAAAGAUAUGAUUGGCUGCAAGCCAGCAGAUGCCAGGAGCUAAAAACACGUGCCUGCAUUAGCCUUGCGUCUUUAAAGCGUGAGGAAGAUGUACAACUGGUCAAUAUUGUAAAGGCCAAUGAGUCAAUGACUGAAUUAUGUUGAUGGAUUGUUUCACUUGUUGGCUCUGCCGAUUGGAUUCCUAGCAAUGGCCUUGCAUCUCCUGUUUUUCGUUUCUUGCCGCUUCCUUCCCGACUCCCCAUGUACAGAGUGUGGCAGUGUUCAUCAUAGAUCGGAUCUAGGCCUGCUUUCUGCGAAUCAGAUCUCUCGUUGUCAGGCUUGGAAUCGUUGGAAUAUUUACAUCUACACAGCCUGCUCUGAUGCUCGUCUGCAAUUCACUUGUUGCGUAUACUACUGAUCAUAAUGAAUGAUACAGCUCAAAGCGGAUGGAUUAACGAGAAGGGAACAUGCAUCAUGGCUCAUCAAACAUCGGAUUCUUAUUUGCAGCGCUCGGAAAUUGGCCACUGACUUUUUGACUAAAUUGCCAAAUUAUACUCCAGUGGCAAUAUCGGUUAUGAAAAGAAGUAUCUAAACAGGGAAUUGAAGCGGGCCAGCCUUACAGACAGUGGCUAACAUGUGGAUAUAUCUGCUCGGGUUAUUGAAUUCGCCGAUUUGGCGUGAUCGUCUCUGCGAUCUAUAACAUACUUGUUACAACGAAACCUUUACCACGCUACUUUGAUUGUUUAACAGAAUGUAUUUCUGCCACCUUUGCCUGACUUAAAUUUGGCGUGAGCGCUAGGAUCAUAGAAGAAGACAUUUGUAACAUCUACUUGUUUCGCGGCCGGACCACCCACACAGCAAUCUAGCCCUACAGCAAUAAAGAUCGAACAUAACAGAAGCUCAUAACUCUUAUUGUUCUUGGAUAUCUCGGCAUUCUGACCCAGUGCUUCGAUGUUACAUGUGCUGUUAUGUAUCUUCUCAAAGCCAGAAAAUUAUCCGGUGUCACGGCCUCGAUGAGGUGGUACUGCGUGUGGGCAGUGUAACCAUGAACUUGUAGAGGGCCUAGAGGCACAUCCAUUAAGUAACUAGCAUGACUUGUAGCUUUAUUCAUCAUGUAACCUUACUUCGGUGACAUGAUGGCUUUAGGAUUAUGUUGCUUGUUGAUGUCGGAUCAUGACAAACUAGGUCAAUAUUCCGACAUGGUAUAAGAGGUUUUAAGUAAGACACUGCUACUGACCAAAAUUGUAAGCCUGAAAGGUAUUAUGGAAGCUGUUGAGAAUUCGAUUGGCAUCACUACAAAAGUCUUGCGAUGAGGCGAUGUUUACGAAUUCUUUUCCUAUCUAAACUCUCCGCAUAUCUUGAGAGAUAUAAGUCAUGACGUAGGUCAGCUUGGUCACAAUGAUAGGAUGGCUGAUGGGAUUAUUACAUGUGACAGUUGACAAAGUUGAUAGAAAGUUGUAUGUUAGUAAACAAGGAGGAGAUUCCUGACCUUAGCAACUCCAGAUGCCUAAUCGUCAAGAUGACGCACGAAAAGGACGUUAAUGACCAUGGCAACAAGAUAUUUCUAAAUACCUCUGAGUCUUCUCUUCUUGGCUUCUCGCCCCUGUACUUCGCAUGAAGCUGCGGCCGUGGCCGAAAAAACCAAGGCCUGAGCUCAUGUUGAUUACCCAAUCUCCGACCAUUGUUAUAGUGCUCUUUGAGACCCAAACUUAAGUAACCAAGCGAAUGGCGACAUUUAUAUGGCCCUAAAUGACAGGUUUGUGUCUGAGCGUCGUUUAAUACCACGAGAAGCCUUCUUACACAGCCGAUGUGCUAUCUUGCUCCAGACCCAGAGGUCUGCAUCAGAAGCCAAGGACAUGAGCCAUCGCCUGGCCGGAGUCGGAAGAUGAGGUAUACUGUCUAGAGCUUUUCACGAGGUCAAUGCCUUCCAAUCGUUAGCUGUAUAUACUAGGUAUCUUCGUCUCGGAUACGAGCUCGAACACCUGAAAGGCUGUAGGCGAGGGUGGGGGUCAUGUCACUUUAUCUGUCAGUGACUCAAUUUUCCGAGUGGAUGGUCUAGAUUCUGGGGUAUAUCGAGCACUAGUGACUCAUCUAAUGCUCGGGAAUGCUCAAAACUAUGUGUAUUAUUUAGGCAUGGCCUCGAGAGGGAUGUCGCUUUAUUCAUCCGAAAAAAUUCGUGCAGGGCACUCAUUUCCUCGCUGACUUUGGGGCGUUGGACAAUGUUCAGCUAGAUGAAGAUCCAUGACUUCUAUAGGCUCUUAGUUCAUCUAGGACUUCUUGCUAAGUACUUGUCUUUCCUUUUAAUCUUGCGCGAGAGAAAUAUGGAAAGCUUAUCUCAAUGGAAAGGAGUGCCAAAGGCCCACAAACCUGGCCGCAAAUCUAUACUCCGUACCUAGAUGACUAAACGAAAAACAGAAGAGAAAACCAAUGUGAAGGGGCAAUUUAUGAUUCGUUGGAAACUCUGUGCCCUAACUCGGUAUACAAACAAUACCAGAUCGACAUCAUAACACCAAGGGGAUCUGAAGCCGACGGGGCCGUUUCAAAUACGACGAGGCUGUUGAUAGAGAGAUAUAAGGAGGUUCAGUCAUUACACUUUGAUGGUUUGCCCGGCCCCGGGAUUUUGGAACGGACUCUGGCUUUCCCAUGCUUGGGACUAGACAAACAUUUUGCCAUCGACUUCCUACCUAGGUAAGCGUUCCGUUGUCUCGGUAUGGCUGACAAUCAAGUGCAAUAUCUGCACGGAGUUAAACGCAUAUAGGGGACCGGUGCCGGUUUCUUUCAUAUGCAUAUCCGUGUUUUGAGCUGUGGCGGGUCAACUCUAGAGAAGGGACGAUCAAGGUAGGUUUCCAUUGAUGAUUCUAAUAUGAUCAAUGUUUGGGAAGAAUGAUUAACUUAGUUAACUAAGUUAUUCUCAUGCAACAUU
rnacentral:lncRNA from 1 species